rnacentral:rRNA from 1 species
UACGUAGGGUGCAAGCGUUGUCCGGAAUCAUUGGGCGUAAAGCGCGCGUAGGUGGCCAUUUAAGUCCGCUGUGAAAGUCAAAGGCUCAACCUUUGAAAGCCGGUGGAUACUGGAUGGCUAGAGUACGGAAGAGGCGAGUGGAAUUCCUGGUGUAGCGGUGGAAUGCGCAGAUAUCAGGAGGAACACCGAUGGCGAAGGCAGCUCGCUGGGACGGUACUGACGCUGAGGCGCGAAAGCGUGGGGAGCGAACAGG